UACGAAGGGGGCUAGCGUUGCUCGGAAUCACUGGGCGUAAAGGGUGCGUAGGCGGGUCUUUUAAGUCAGGGGUGAAAUCCUGGAGCUCAACUCCAGAACUGCCUUUGAUACUGAAGAUCUUGAGUUCGGGAGAGGUGAGUGGAACUGCGAGUGUAGAGGUGAAAUUCGUAGAUAUUCGCAAGAACACCAGUGGCGAAGGCGGCUCACUGGCCCGAUACUGACGCUGAUGCGCGAAAGCGUGGGGAGCAAACAGG
rnacentral:rRNA from 1 species